UACAGAGGGUGCAAGCGUUAAUCGGAACUACUGGGCGUAAAGCGUGCGUAGACGGUAGCGUAAGUCGGGUGUGAAAGCCCCGGGCUCAACCUGGGAAUUGCAUUCGAGACUGCUCUGCUAGGGUGCGGAAGAGGGAAGCGGAAUUUCCGGUGUAGCGGUGAAAUGCGUAGAUAUCGGAAGGAACACCAGUGGCGAAAGCGGCUUCCUGGUCCAGCACCGACGUUCAGGCACGAAAGCGUGGGGAGCAAACAGG
rnacentral:rRNA from 1 species